rnacentral:rRNA from 1 species
UACGUAGGUGGCAAGCGUUGUUCGGAAUUACUGGGCGUAAAGGGCGCGUAGGCGGCCACCGCAAGUCGGUUGUGAAAUCUCUGGGCUUAACCCAGAAAGGUCAACCGAUACUGCGGGGCUAGAGUGCAGAAGGGGCAACUGGAAUUCUCGGUGUAGCGGUGAAAUGCGUAGAUAUCGAGAGGAACACCUGCGGCGAAGGCGGGUUGCUGGGCUGACACUGACGCUGAAGCGCGAAAGCUAGGGGAGCGAACGGG